rnacentral:lncRNA from 1 species
CGGGCAACGCCAAGCAAAUGUGGGACAACUCGCAGCCAGGAGAAAGCUUCCAGGUCACAGUAUUUUUGACUUACCACGUGUUUAUUGGGACGUAACCCCUUCCUAAGAUGAAGAGCAUCUGUAUACAUCCAGAAUCCUGUGGAGCAACUCAUAACCCAUGAGGAAUGGAAGCCGACAGACAGACUCAUCCCCAGGACAGGUGGUUCUCACUACAUCUCAUAAAGCUUCUUAGAAGAUCUUACAGGAUUGAGCAACCAGCCAGCCACAGCAGGGGCCAACUGGAUAACACGUCUUUGCAUAGGCUCUCCCUCUGUCCCUGUCACCCUCCCCUUUUCCUAACCUUGUUCCUUGGGAUUAUGUUUUGAAAUAAAUUAUUCAGAGAAAUGAAGCCAAAGCUGACCCAUUAGCCAAUAGCUAGGUUCUGUGAUGACAGAGCUUCUGGGCUAUAAUCGUUUACUGAGAAGCCAGCGUUCCUGAGGGGAUAAUGGCUCGUUCCAUUCAGCUGCAGCAUAGGAGUGAGGGCAGGGCAUUAGCAGAAGAUAACACCAGAAACGUGCUCUGGGGCCUGUUGAUGACUUUCUGUGCCAAGCACAGACAUUUAGCCUUUAUUCUGUAUGUGAUGGGAAGCCAGUGCCAGUGGUGGGUUUGAGCAGGGAACCAGCAACCAGUGGUGGGUUUGAGCAGGGAACCAGCAAUACUCAAGCUCUGCUUGGAUGGAGGCCAGUCAGGGAGGAGUUAGGGCAGGAGGACCAGUCAGGGAGGAGACUUAGGGCAGGAGGACCAGUCAGGGAGGAGACUUAGGGCAGGAGGACCGGUCAGGGAGGAGACUUAGGGCAGGAGUACUGGUCAGGGAGGAGACUUAGGGCAGGAGGACCGGUCAGGGAGGAGACUUAGGGCAGGAGGACCGGUCAGGGAGGAGACUUAGGGCAGGAGGACCGGUCAGGGAGGAGUUAGGGCUGGAGGACGGGUCAGGGAGGAGACUUAGGGCAGGAGGACCGGUCAGGGAGGAGUUAGGGCUGGAGGACCGGUCAGGGAGGAGUUAGGGCAGGAGGACUGGUCAGGGAGGAGACUUAGGGCUGGAGGACUGGUCAGGGAGGAGUUAGGGCAGGAGGACCAGUUAGGAGGCAGUGACUUAGGACUUCAGCAGUGGCACUAGAAAGGGGAUGGAUAUGAACGACAUUGCAAAGUAAAACUAGAGAGACGGCCGGGCACAGUGGCUCACUCCUGUAAUCCCAGCACUUUGGGAGGCCAAGGCGGGUGGAUCAUGAGGUCAGGAGAUCGAGACCAGCCUGGCCAACAUGGUGAAACCCUAUCUCUACUAGAAAAAAAAAAAAAUAGCCAGGCGUGGUGGCGGGCGCCUGUAAUCCCAGCUACUCCAGAGGCUGAGGCAGGAGAAUUUGCUUGAACCAGGGAGUCGGAAGUUGCAGUGAGCUGAGAUCGCACCACUGCACUCCAGCCUGGGCAAUAGAGUGAGACUCCGUCUCAAUAACAAAACAAACAAACAAAAACCUAGAGAGACUUGGCACCUUGCAGAGAGAAGCAAAAGAUGACCCUGAGGUCUGGAGUCCAGGAAGCCAAGGACAGCAAAAGCAUCCACAGAAACAGGAAAAGGGCAGGUGUGGGAGGGAAGGUGAGAGGUUCAUCAGACCUCACAGCCCCUGGCAGCGCCUCCUGGAUCUUUGAAAUCCUGUGCACCCCAGGAGACUCCGGGAGGCCCAUCUGAGCUCACCGGAGACAGGUCUGCCGUCUCUCCUCUCAUCACUGGGGACAGAAAGCCUGAACAUGAGGCCUGGACUACGGGGCUCAGACCAGAAUAUUUCCAGACUUAAGGGCAGUAAUGUGGAGCCCAGGAAGGAAUAUUGAGGACAGAGGGCACAUUACUUAGCUCAAGGGGUGCUGGGUUCUUAUUUUCUACUUUCAAGAAAUGUUUGCUAUAGUCACUGUAACCACCACAAAACAGUGAAUAAUACCAUGAGCCAAAUGUAUG